rnacentral:rRNA from 1 species
UACGUAGGGUGCGAGCGUUGUCCGGAAUUAUUGGGCGUAAAGAGCUCGUAGGCGGCUUGUCGCGUCGGAUGUGAAAGCCCGGGGCUUAACUCCGGGUCUGCAUUCGAUACGGGCAGGCUAGAGUUCGGUAGGGGAGAUCGGAAUUCCUGGUGUAGCGGUGAAAUGCGCAGAUAUCAGGAGGAACACCGGUGGCGAAGGCGGAUCUCUGGGCCGAUACUGACGCUGAGGGGCGAAAGCGUGGGGAGCGAACAGG